rnacentral:rRNA from 1 species
GACGAACGCUGGCGGCGUGCUUAACACAUGCAAGUCGAACGGAAAGGCCCUGCUUUUGUGGGGUGCUCGAGUGGCGAACGGGUGAGUAACACGUGAGUAACCUGCCCUUGACUUUGGGAUAACUUCAGGAAACUGGGGCUCAUACCGGAUAGGAGCUCCUGCUGCAUGGUGGGGGUUGGAAAGUUUCGGCGGUUGGGGAUGGACUCGCGGCUUAUCAGCUUGUUGGUGGGGUAGUGGCUUACCAAGGCUUUGACGGGUAGCCGGCCUGAGAGGGGGACCGGCCACAUUGGGACUGAGAUACGGCCCAGACUCCUACGGGAGGCAGCAGUGGGGAAUAUUGCACAAUGGGCGGAAGCCUGAUGCAGCAACGCCGCGUGCGGGAUGACGGCCUUCGGGUGGUAAACCGCUUUCGCCUGUGACGAAGCGUGAGUGACGGUAAUGGGUAAAGAAGCACCGGCUAACUACGUG